rnacentral:rRNA from 1 species
UACGUAGGGGGCUAGCGUUGUCCGGAAUCAUUGGGCGUAAAGAGCGUGUAGGCGGCCCGGUAAGUCCGCUGUGAAAGUCGGGGGCUCAACCCUCGAAUGCCGGUGGAUACUGUCGGGCUAGAGUGCGGAAGAGGCGAGUGGAAUUCCUGGUGUAGCGGUGAAAUGCGCAGAUAUCAGGAGGAACACCGGUGGCGAAGGCGGAUCUCUGGGCCUUACCUGACGCUGAGGCGCGAAAGCUAGGGGAGCGAACAGG